UCAGACGAUGCGUCAUGCAUAUCAAUAAGCGGAGGAAAAGAAACUAACAAGGAUUCCCUUAGUAACGGCGAGUGAAGCGGGAAGAGCUCAAAUUUGAAAUCUUCAAGGUUUUACCUUGACGAAUUGUAGUUUAAAGAAGUGUUUUCUGUUGAAGUUUUGGUAAAAGUCCUUUGGAAUAGGACAUCAUAGAGGGUGAGAAUCCCGUAUUUGACCAUUAUUUUCAGCUGUGUGAUACACUUUCAAAGAGUCGGAUUGUUUGGGAAUGCAGUCCAAAAUGGGUGGUAAAUUUCAUCUAAAGCUAAAUAUUGGCGAGAGACCGAUAGCGAACAAGUACCGUGAGGGAAAGAUGAAAAGAACUUUGAAAAGAGAGUUAAACAGUACGUGAAAUUGUCAAAAGGGAAGCGUUUGACACCAGUGUUGUUUUCUCGAAAAUCAAUUAAAAAGAGUUGGAUUUUGUGUUGUAUUGACCUUAACAGCUUGCUUCACUCUUUUCCUGCUUUUUUUAAUGCACUUUUCGUUUAACAAGUCAACAUCAGUUUCUUUUGUUGUAAAAGGGUCAUUGGAAGGUGGCUUUCUCUUCGGAGAAAGUGUUUAUAGCCUUUGAUCUCUGCAAUCGGAGAGACUGAGGUCUGCAGCGUAGAUCCUUCGGGGUUAGAUACAUUUGUGCUAAGCUACAGCUUUUCAUAGACAACUUGUUGACUAUGUUUAGUCUUGUAACUUACCCGCUUAUGCUAUUUUACCUACGCUUAGGAUGUUGAUAUGCAUGACUGAUAU
rnacentral:rRNA from 1 species